UACAGAGGUCUCAAGCGUUGUUCGGAUUCAUUGGGCGUAAAGGGCGCGUAGGCGGCCCUCUAAGUCGAACGUGAAAUCCCCGGGCUCAACCCGGGAACUGCGUCCGAUACUGGAAGGCUUGAAUCCGGGAGAGGGAUGCGGAAUUCCAGGUGUAGCGGUGAAAUGCGUAGAUAUCUGGAGGAACACCGGUGGCGAAGGCGGCAUCCUGGACCGGCAUUGACGCUGAGGCGCGAAAGCCAGGGGAGCAAACGGG
rnacentral:rRNA from 1 species